GCAAAAUGGAGUCUCUGUCUCAGCUGCUAUGUGGGCUCUUGAUGGUUUGCGUCCCAGUUUCCAGGGGAGAAAUUGUGGUGACCCAGUUUCCAGCCUCGGUGUCUGUGAGCCCAGGAGAGAGAGUCACCAUCAGCUGCAAGAUCAGUGAAAGUGUCACAGACAGUAAUGGAGACACUUACCUAUACUGGCUCCAACAGAAACCUGGACAGUCUCCUCGGCGACUCAUUUACUUGGUUUCCAAGCUGGACUCAGGAGUUCCUGACCGGUUCAGUGGCAGUGGUGCUGAGAAGGAUUUCACCUUCACAAUUAGCAGUCUGGAGGCUGAAGAUGGGGCAGAAUAUUACUGUGUUCUAGGAUCUUAUUCUUCUCCCACAGUGUUACAGCCCUGAACAAAAACCUCCCCAGGCCUGGGCUGGCUGCUCAGGGAGGCCCAGCUGCCUCCCCUCCUUCUUCUGCUGCAGCAGCUGCUGGGGGCCUGCUCAGGGGCAGGGUCUCUGGGGCUGAUGAGACAAAAGGGACUCGGGGCUCAGGGGAAAGGCCCGGUCUGAGAGCUUGGUGCUCUGGGGACUCUUGCUCCUCUUCAGCCAGGAGCAGAAUCAUCAAAGAAAGAACCACUGGCCCAGACUGAGUCACCCCACAAUGCCCUGGGCCUGAGGCACUCUCCCAUUCCUAUUCCAUCUGACUCCCCUCAGCACAAGAAACAAAGAGAAAG